UACCGAGGGGGCAAGCGUUGUUCGGAAUUACUGGGCGUAAAGGGCGCGUAGGCGGCCUGCUAAGUCGAACGUGAAAUCCCCGAGCUCAACUCGGGAACUGCGUCCGAUACUGGCAGGCUUGAAUCCGGGAGAGGGAUGCGGAAUUCCAGGUGUAGCGGUGAAAUGCGUAGAUAUCUGGAGGAACACCGGUGGCGAAGGCGGCAUCCUGGACCGGCAUUGACGCUGAGGCGCGAAAGCCAGGGGAGCAAACGGG
rnacentral:rRNA from 1 species